GUCUCUCCCACACUCCCAUCCCGCCCGGCCUCCCCCUCCUACCCUGCCUUCUUCCCCGGCGCCGUCCUGGACCUCCGCCGCCGCCACCGCGUGGAUCCAACGACCUGCCCCUGGUACGCGCCGCCGCCUGUGCCCAACGCCGUUGAGACCCACGCACCCCAGCGCUCCACCGGAGACGACACACCCUACCACCGUCGGGAUCCCCCGCACUGUCCGGCGCGCAGGAGUUGCACCCCCGCGCGCCGUCGGGAAUCCCGCACCCCCGCCGCCGUCGGGGUCUUCGUUCCCCUGCUCCACCAUCGCCGGACCUUUGGAUCCACGCACGCCGCCGAAACCCCGCACCCCGCGCGCUGCCGGGACACAACAUCUCCACGUGCCGCCGCUGAACACCUGCAUCCCUGCGUGUUGCCGCCGUCCUCCGCCAGAGAUGCCCUUGCAUCUCCCGCACCCCUGCACGUCGCCCUCCACCUCAUCCUGCUGGGGACCGUCAACUAUGGUGCCUCCUCCCGAUGGGGCUCCACUGCCACAGCACCAGGGGCAGUCCCACUUCGCCUGAGCCAUCGGUCCACCUUGAACAGGAUGAGUGGCCGUCAGAUCCCCUGAUUCAGCCGAGAACGGCUUCAACUACGACAGGAUGCAAAAAAGAUCCACAUGCCAUGAGCUGAUUUGUUUAGAAUUUUGUUAGAUUCACUAGCAAUCAUUUUCUAGCAAAUUACGGACGUACAGACUGAAUUUUGAGUUGCAAUUCAACAACGGCUUAUGCUUUUUUCAGAGAAGAAGAAAACUAUGGAAGUUCAUAUACUGAUCCUGAGAGAGUUCAAAUGUGGUUGCUUGUGGCAUAAUAAAAUUUUGGAUCUUUGCAACUUCA